ensembl:lncRNA
GUAAUAGUUUUGUAUGAAUCUGUAUAUUUGACUGCUAUUUAUAACAACCAGUGUGUUCGUAAUUAAGACAACACAUUCAAAUAAUAUGGUAAGACACACCAAUUUUCAAUAUAAAUUUUCAAUUUCAAUGAAAAAAAAAUUCAAUUUCAAUUUUCAGCAAAAUGAGCAUUCUGUACAGCUAAAAAUAGCUGGACAUGAAUGAGACCGGAAGCCAGACCCAUAGAAUUUACAAAUGGCCGUGCCCAUUUUUACGGGAAGAGAAAGGUGGAUAAAAGUUAUUUUAUUGCACUAUAUUGCACAACCAAAAUGAAUGGGACGUCGGAAACAAAAUCAGACAGUAUCCAAUACUCUAAGUAUCAGUUCUAUUAACUAUUAAUCCAAAAAUAUUGAAGAGCAGUAUCUUUUGUUUUUAGCCCUUAAAUUAGUUGGUAUUGGGAAAGACUAUUCUAACUUAUGAGCGCAAUAAGGAAAUAGGGAAACAAAUGAAACGAUCUGUGUUAUUGAUCUUGCAUUUUACAAAGACACUCAUAAUGUGGAAGAAAGCUGAAUCAUAUUGGACUAGCAGUUUCCUUGCAGUGAAUUUGUACUCAGGAGAGCAGCUAAAAAAAAAACCCAGGACUGUUUGCAAAUGUACUGCGUCUUAUGAUGGAAAGAAACUUCAUUUUGGUUAAAAUGGAAUUUUUAGUUGACUGAGCAAUUCCCUUGAUGUCAGGACUACCGCGGAGCUUGUGCAGCAAUGAGUUUUUUUCACUCACGUAUUUCACUGGUGUAUCAGUGAGAGGAAGGAGAGAGAAAAACAUAACAGCCCAGAGAUGAUUUCACUAGCACCGAUCAAUGUUGAGCAGCCGGAG